GAUGAGUCUCUCUAGAAUGAGAGCAGUGUCAAAAAUAACUUCCAUGAGCUUCUCUGAGAUCUAGCCUUGUGGGACACUAACAAUAGUCAGAUACCAGGACGUAGAUGACUACUCCCAGAAUUCACUACAGUAGGUACCAGAGACAUACAGUGGAUUCAGAAUUCACUACAGUAGGUACCAGAGACAUACAGUGGAUUCAGAAUUCACUACAGUAGGUACCAGAGACAUACAGUGGAUUCAGAAUUCACUACAGUAGGUACCAGAGACAUACAGUGGAUUCAGAAUUCACUACAGUAGGUACCAGAGACAUACAGUGGAUUCAGAAUUCACUACAGUAGGUACCAGAGACAUACAGUGGAUUCAGAAUUCACUACAGUAGGUACCAGAGACAUACAGUGGAUUCAGAAUUCACUACAGUAGGUACCAGAGACAUACAGUGGAUUCAGAAUUCACUACAGUAGGUACCAGAGACAUACAGUGGAUUCAGAAUUCACUACAGUAGGUACCAGAGACAUACAGUGGAUUCAGAAUUCACUACAGUAGGUAGGUAGCAGUAUUCAGACCCCUGGACUUAUUCCACAUUUUGUUACAUUACAGCCUUAUUUAUAACAUUAUUAUUUUUCCUCAUCAAUCUACACACAAUACCCCAUAAUGACAUCACAAUACCCCAUAAUGACAUCACAAUACCCAAUAAUGACAUCACAAUACCCCAUAAUGACAUCACA